UACGUAGGGUGCGAGCGUGUCCGGAAUUAUUGGGCGUAAAGGGCUCGUAGGCGGUUUGUCGCGUCGGGAGUGAAAACUCAGGGCUUAACCCUGAGCCUGCUUCCGAUACGGGCAGACUAGAGGUAUGCAGGGGGAGAACGGAAUUCCUGGUGUAGCGGUGAAAUGCGCAGAUAUCAGGAGGAACACCGGUGGCGAAGGCGGUUCUCUGGGCAUUACCUGACGCUGAGGAGCGAAAGUGUGGGGAGCGAACAGG
rnacentral:rRNA from 1 species